rnacentral:rRNA from 1 species
GAUGAACGCUGGCGGCGUGCCUAAUACAUGCAAGUCGAGCGAACAGACGAGGAGCUUGCUCCUUUGACGUUAGCGGCGGACGGGUGAGUAACACGUAGGUAACCUACCUAUAAGACUGGGAUAACUUCGGGAAACCGGAGCUAAUACCGGAUAAUAUUUCGAACCGCAUGGUUCGAUAGUGAAAGAUGGCUUUGCUAUCACUUAUAGAUGGACCUGCGCCGUAUUAGCUAGUUGGUAAGGUAAUGGCUUACCAAGGCAACGAUACGUAGCCGACCUGAGAGGGUGAUCGGCCACACUGGAACUGAGACACGGUCCAGACUCCUACGGGAGGCAGCAGUAGGGAAUCUUCCGCAAUGGGCGAAAGCCUGACGGAGCAACGCCGCGUGAGUGAUGAAGGUCUUCGGAUCGUAAAACUCUGUUAUUAGGGAAGAACAAACGUGUAAGUAACUAUGCACGUCUUGACGGUACCUAAUCAGAAAGCCACGGCUAACUACGUG